rnacentral:rRNA from 1 species
UACGUAGGUGACAAGCGUUGUCCGGAUUUACUGGGCGUAAAGAGCGCGCAGGCGGUCGUUCAAGUCGAGUGUGAAAGCCCCCGGCUCAACUGGGGAGGGUCACUCGAUACUGAUCGACUGGAAGGCAGGAGAGGGUAGUGGAAUUCCCGGUGUAGUGGUGAAAUGCGUAGAUAUCGGGAGGAACACCAGUGGCGAAGGCGACUACCUGGCCUGUUCUUGACGCUGAGGCGCGAAAGCUAGGGGAGCAAACGGGG